GUCAACAUGUCAGAGUGGUGAAGGAAAGACUCAAAAUCUGUUGGGCUUUGCCUGCGUAGGUUCGAAUCCUGCUGUUGACG
rnacentral:tRNA from 1 species